rnacentral:rRNA from 1 species
GACGAACGCUGGCGGCGUGCUUAACACAUGCAAGUCGAACGGAAAGGCCCUGCUUUUGUGGGGUGCUCGAGUGGCGAACGGGUGAGUAACACGUGAGUAACCUGCCCUUGACUUUGGGAUAACUUCAGGAAACUGGGGCUAAUACCGGAUAGGAGCUCCUGCUGCAUGGUGGGGGUUGGAAAGUUUCGGCGGUUGGGGAUGGACUCGCGGCUUAUCAGCUUGUUGGUGGGGUAGUGGCUUACCAAGGCUUUGACGGGUAGCCGGCCUGAGAGGGUGACCGGCCACAUUGGGACUGGGAUACGGCCCAGACUCCUACGGGAGGCAGCAGUGGGGAAUAUUGCACAAUGGGCGGAAGCCUGAUGCAGCAACGCCGCGUGCGGGAUGACGGCCUUCGGGUUGUAAACCGCUUUCGCCUGUGACGAAGCGUAAGUGACGGUAAUGGGUAAAGAAGCACCGGCUAACUACGUG